UUGUUAAAAAAAAAUUCGGGAAUCUUUAGGUUACGGUGUCUGUAUUUCAUGGAUAAAAUGGGUAUGGGCCGAUCUAGAGAAACAUCAAUAGAAAAUAUAUAGUUAUGGAAGCGAGGGGUCGGCUUUCGAAUAACGUCCCAGGAUUUCGGGAAUAAAAUGGGUAUGGUAAGAUAGAGGAGGUUCUCCAGAAAAAUAUUAGAAUUUUAUUAAUUUCAAUACCGACAAGGUUAUCCGUGAAAAAAUACGUACGGGGAAUGUUUAGUUUAGUAUCUCAUUUUGAAGAGGUUUUGCGCAAAGGGGGAGAGGGCGGGGGGCUUGCUAUCCCCCUCAUUUGAAAGGUAAUGAAUGAAACUUUUGAAUAAUACCACCCUUCCCCCCCUAGGACCCCGGGGGGCUCUAGGGCAGCCUCCUGAAAAUGGCGUAAAAUCGUAGUUUCUCCAUACAAUUUUCACUAAUUAUUAUAAAAUUUGUGUAUUUUACCGCAUAGAGUGACUCUAUGUUUAUUAUUUUUAUUAUUUCAAUGAAUUAAAGUGGAAAUCCACUUUAUUUAAAUAAUAAAAACACUGAAAAUUAAAAAUUGUAUAUGCAUCGGUAAUAAUGCAUACAAGUAGUUGAAGUACCGAGAUAACCCAACCAACCAUUUGUACAAGACCCCCUAAAUAAUAAAAUUGGGUUUUUAUCGCGCGAUCUUUUUUUUUUCAAAUUUUGAAUAUAUUUUCAGCAUAAAUCGCGCGAUUUUUUAUUCCAAAUUUUCGUUAUAUUUUCAAUAUAAUACAUAUAUUACAAUGAAACAAGCGCCGCAGGCGAAAAUUUGGAAUAAAAAAUCGGGGAAAUGUUUAGUAUCGCGCCGGUUUAGUAUCGUUUAUGGUGAAAAACAGGGGAGGGCUACCCCCCCUCACGCCCCCUUAUUGGAAAGAGGAAGGAUCGAACUUUUUAAUAAACCCCCCCUCGACCUCCUAGAGCCCCUAUAGACCCGUAGGGAGCCCUUUGAAAAUGACCAAAAAUCAGUGUUUUUGCUCAUUUUUCCAUACAAACUGAAACCAAUGCAACCCAGCCAACAUUUUUGUAUGGACAAGAAAUCAAAAUAAAGAAAACCAAAAUGUGUAGUACUACUUUUUGCGUUGGCGGCCUUCGGCCGCGCUCUAAAAAAAUAACCCUGGUCGAGCGAAUACCCGAGGUGACCGAUGUACUUUCGUGUAGUACUCCUUUCUGCGUUGGCGGCCUUCGGCCGCGCUCUAAAAAAAUAACCCUGGUCGGUCCAACACCGGGGUGUAUAAAUUUUUUUCGCAUAGAACUAUUUGCGUGGGCGGCCUUCGGCCGCGCUUCAAAAAAAAUAACCCUGGUCGGUCCAACACCCGGGUGUAUCAGAUUUUUUUCGCGUAGAACUCCUUUUUGCAUUGGCGGCCUUCGGCCGCGCUUCAAAAAAAAUAACCCUGGUCGGUCCAACACCGGCUACGCCAUCCACAGUAUUUUAGCAUUGAACACCUUUUCGCGUUCACUUCAUACAUUUAUUGCUAACUGGGCUUAAUUUAUUCCCUUUUGUUCGUGCUUUCUCGACAAUUUGACAGUUCAAAUUAGGCAGUCAUUUUGGUUUUUCGCAUUAUUGAACUCAAUGCAGAAAAAGGUGUAUUUUAUAUAAAGAUUUACAAGGAAAUUAACAAUCAAAAGUAAUUAAAAACAUUACUAGUGGUUUUUAUAAUUCAUAAGUUAUAUAUGUGCGUGAAAAUGUAUCCAUAAUUGGUUUGGCACAAUGCACAACAGAUGAAAAUACACUAGCAUAUAUUGAGAAAUUUGCAAAAAAUAGCAUUUUUUAAAGUGAAUUUUUGGAAAAACUUGUGAACCGAUUUUUAUAAAAUAUGUUUUAAAAUAAAGUUCGAUAAUUUAAGCAUACAUGCGUGUUUAAAAUUUUCAAUUUGGUUCUCUCGUUUAGGUACAGUGAGCCAAAAUUAACCGGCGCGAUACUAAACCCAACCCAAAAAUCGCGCGAUUUUUUAUUCCAAAUUUUCAUUAUAUUUUCAGUAUAAUAUAUUACAUUGAAACAACCGCCGCAGUAUAUAAGGCCUACCAUUUUGAUUCGUUGCGUUAUUACUAUCUUCCUUUUGUGCUUAUUUUCUUCGUCGUUUGACAGUUCAUAUUCAGUAAUUUUGCUUACAUUUCAAGGAACAAUAUAACACGUAAUUGAAAGCUGUUUUAUUUAUUAAAUUGUACAUAAAAUUGCAACUUAAAAUCCAUAAUUUAUCAUUAAUUCAAUUAAAUAUAUUUCAAAGAAUGUGUGUGUGUUAAAUUGGUUAAAUUUUUUGCAAGCAGUGCAACAAAAACUUCAAAAGAAGAGAGCCAUUGUUUGAGCAAAUGUGAAAAUGUGCGUUUUUUGCGUACUUAUAUCUAAAAAACAAAUUAACAUUUAACAAUAAAUUUACAUUUAAACAAAAGUUUAAUUCAUUGGCUAUCUGUGCUAUAUAAAUUUAAAAAAAUCCGUGCACGCAUUUAAGAGGAAUAAGCAGUGAAAAUGAGAUACUAAACUAAAUCCAACCCAUACGUACUUCAAAUAGUGGUAAUUUUCAACUUUAAGCGCAAAUAUCUUGAGAACUAUAAAUUUCGAGCGGCUAUAGCUACAGUGUACGACAAAACUAAAGCACGGAACCUACUUUGCCGGUUUUAAAUUAAUAAAAUUAUAUAAAAUAGGUAUAAAAUGAUUUUAGUUUUAUAGUUCAUUCAUUCUUCUUUUUGAAUUAGAAAAAAUUAAACAAAUUAACUUAUUAAAAAAAUUUAUGAAAUUCCAUGUAUGAAAAAUUCCAAAAAUCUGGUGCGACAAAACUAAAGCCCGAAAUAAUUUUAUGAUUGAAAAAUUUAUGUCUUUCAAUAUAAGUUUGGUAAACCCAAGGCAAUCAUAAUCGACAAUAAAUUCAGAGCAGAACAUAUAAAUAGCAAGCUUUUUAAGCAAAGACUCUUGCUAUAUAGAUGAAUAUGACACAUAAUAAAAUCCCUGAGAUUCAUUAAGGGGUACCUCAAAUACUAUUACCAAUCAUAUAGAGUAAAGUCCCCCGAAUAUUAUACGGGGAUAGGUCAAGUUCUAAGAUACACUGUUAUCAGUAAAACAUCCUAUCUCAUUUUCAUUGAGAAAACUUUGGUUAAAAUCAGACGAGCAGGCUCUGAGAUAUGACAUUUAACCUAAUAAUUGGCGGUUCCACGCCCAUUGUUGAAUUUUGUACCGGCUAUUAUAAAACCCUCUCAUAGCAUCUCGAGCGUAAAAUUAGUAUAAUCAGGGGUGUUGUGGAAUCUGAUAGUUGUCGGAAUCAGAAUUGAAACCGAUCAAAAAAAGCAGUAGGUGUCAUGAAUUCAGAUAUUAUUGGUUUGAUAUUCGAAACAGAAUUUGUAUCGGUUUUGGGUGUCACGGAAACCAAUUUUAUCGGUUUUGCUAGCAGAAACAAAUCAAGAAGAUAGUCGCACACAGAUUUGAAAUGGGAAAACAUAAGCAUAAAACACAAAAUGUCUCAAUUAUUGAAUUUUUGAAAAAAAAAAUGCAGAUAUUUAAGUGGGGAGCCUGCAUUAGAGGCUUGAAAUCGAUUUUUUGGGGCAUUUGUCGGACGACGGGCAGUAUGCAGAACACAAUUUCUAUUGGAAAAAAAAUUCAAACAGAUUACUUUUUGUUAAUAACUUAUGUUCUAUGUAGUGAAACUAAGAAAAUUUAAAAAAAAAAGUGUAAAAUUCUAAAAAAAAUUUAAAAUUUGAAAAAAAUGGUUUUUGACCAAACAAAUUUAACAUUAUGUUGUUUAAACAUAGGUUCAAACUUAACUUUUCUUAGUUUUUUUUGGUUAAGAUAAUAAACUUUGCCCCAAUUCCAUACGACGUCUAUCCUGCGCUCAUAUAUCUGCUUCUAAAGCAGGAAGAUUUACAAAACGUAAUUUAACACCCAAAUGCGUUUUUAUUCAUUUGAUAAAUGUUAUCUAUUAAAAUCUUUCUUUAAUUCGGAACUCAUUACAAACUUUAGUAUGAUUGCUUCCAAAUGUAUUCAUUUGCUAGUUUCGUCACAUUAGUAGACAGCUGAUUCGAAUAUUGGUUUUGCGUAUGUUCGAAAAGACAAAAUCCAAUCAGAUUCUGUGACACCAUUGAAAAUCAGAAUUGGUUUGCAAUUCUGACAGCUAAGCAAUUCUGUCUUGGAUUCCACAACACCCCUGAAUAUAAUUAAUAA